rfam:Picea glauca, whole genome shotgun sequence.
AUGUACAUUCUUACAAAAUAGUGUUAAUGCACCAUAUUCCAUUAGAACUUCAUAGUUAAACGAACUCGAGGUAGAGUAGUACUAGGAUGGAUGACCAACUAGGAAGUCCUAGUAUUUUACAUG